ensembl:lncRNA
GGACGUGGUGACUGUAGAGACGUGGUGAGUGUAGGGAGGUGGUGAGUGUAGGGAGGUGGUGAGUGUAGGGACGUGGUGAGUGUAGGGAGGUGGUGAGUGUAGGGACGUGGUGAGUGUAGGGACGUUGUGAGGAAAACCUCCUGUUCCUAGUUGUGGUGAGUGUAGGGACGUGGUGAGUGUAGGUACGUGGUGAGUGUAGGGAGGUGGUGAGUGUAGGGAUGUGGUGAGUGUAGGGACGUGGUGAGUGUAGGGACGUGGUGAGUGUAGGGACGUUGUGAGGAAAACCUCCUGUUCCUAGUUGUGGUGAGUGUAGGGACGUGGU